UUUACAUUUUUAGUAUUGAACUUAGCAGACGCUAAUAAAGGAACUUGCAAAAAGUUAACCACGUGAUUGCAGCGAACGCGGCUUUGUUUGGGCUGAAAAAUUCGUAAUCAAGAAAAGUGUUAUCAUCGCUGAAGGAAUGGCAGGAUCGGACACCUGUGAACAAGUGCAGUGCAAGCCCUGAAGAAAUAAAAUACUGGAUAUCAUCUUUAUUAUGGACGACUUCUCUGACUAAACUAGCAAGGAACAGUUAUGAGAAUAAAAUUAAGGAUAGGCUGGGAUUCCUUGGAUGUGCCUCUUGGACCAGAGAGCGAAUGGUGACUGAUCACGCUGGACGGAGUAGUUCCAGCCCUACCUCGUAAACUUGAGAGAGAGGGGCCGACCACCAGGGUCCAGGAGAAACACCACUGGAAUCAGCAGGUGAACUCUAGUGGCAUCUUUCAUUUCAAU